AGGGUUUCGGCCUUUAACUUAGUGGCGAACGGGUGAGUAACGCGUGAAUAACCUGACUCAAAGAGGGGGAUAACAACGGGAAACUGUUGCUAAUACCGCAUGAGACCACAACACCGCAUGAUGAAGGGGUCAAAGAUUUAUCGCUUUGAGAGGGGUUCGCGUCCCAUUAGGUAGUUGGAGGGGUAACGGCCCACCAAGCCAACGAUGGGUAGCCGAGCUGAGAGGCUGAUCGGCCACACUGGAACUGAGACACGGUCCAGACUCCUACGGGAGGCAGCAGUAGGGAAUAUUGGGCAAUGGGCGCAAGCCUGACCCAGCAACGCCGCGUGAGGGAAGAAGGUUUUCGGAUUGUAAACCUCUGUCCUAUGUGACGAAGGAAGUGACGGUAGCAUAGGAGGAAGCCCCGGCUAACUACGUGCCAGCAGCCGCGGUAAUACGUAGGGGGCGAGCGUUGUCCGGAAUUACUGGGCGUAAAGGGUGCGUAGGCGGUUUGGUAAGUUGGAUGUGAAAUACACGGGCUUAACUUGGGGGCUGCAUCCAAUACUGUCGGACUUGAGUGCAGGAGAGGAAAGCGGAAUUCCUAGUGUAGCGGUGAAAUGCGUAGAUAUUAGGAGGAACACCGGUGGCGAAGGCGGCUUUCUGGACUGUAACUGACGCUGAGGCACGAAAGCGUGGGGAGCAAACAGGAUUAGAUACCCUGGUAGUCCACGCCGUAAAUGAUGAAUACUAGGUGUAGGGGGUAUAGACUCCCUCUGUGCCGCAGCAAACGCAAUAAGUAUUCCGCCUGGGGAGCACGGCCGCAAGGUUGCAACACAAAGGAAUUGACGG
rnacentral:rRNA from 1 species